rnacentral:rRNA from 1 species
CCUUUGUACACACCGCCCGUCGCUCCUACCGAUUGAAUGGCUCAGUGAGGCCUCCGGACUGGCUCGGAGAGGUUGGCAACGACCACUCCGAGCCGGAAAGCUCGUCAAACUCGGUCAUUUAGAGG